rnacentral:rRNA from 1 species
AUUGAACGCUGGCGGCAUGCUUUACACAUGCAAGUCGAACGGUAACAGGGUGCUUGCACCGCUGACGAGUGGCGAACGGGUGAGUAAUGCGUCGGAACGUGCCGAGUAGUGGGGGAUAACGCAGCGAAAGUUGUGCUAAUACCGCAUACGUACUGAGGUAGAAAGUGGGGGACCUUCGGGCCUCACGCUAUUCGAGCGGCCGACGUCUGAUUAGCUAGUAGGUGAGGUAAAGGCUCACCUAGGCGACGAUCAGUAGCGGGUCUGAGAGGAUGAUCCGCCACACUGGGACUGAGACACGGCCCAGACUCCUACGGGAGGCAGCAGUGGGGAAUUUUGCACAAUGGGUGCAAGCCUGAUGCAGCCAUGCCGCGUGUAUGAAGAAGGCCUUCGGGUUGUAAAGUACUUUCAGCGGGGAGGAAGGCGGUGAAGUUAAUAACUUCACCGAUUGACGUUACCCGCAGAAGAAGCACCGGCUAACUCCGUGCCAGCAGCCGCCGCGG